UGUAUUGCACUAGGCUUCGGCCAUGUUUAUUUGUCUCCUACAGUGACAAAAUACUUGAAAACUAGCCACACUCCACCUAACUUCUUUUUGUAUGUAUAGUUAGCAAAGGGAUUAGUAGAUUCUAUGACAUUUGAAGCCGACCACCAGGUAGUAUUUUGACUAUUAGCAUUAUAUGCUUUCUAACCUAGACAGGUCAACUUGCCUACAGGUGUGUUAUACAUUGGGCCUACCCUAGCUAAACAUACGUCGCCAAUUAUGGAUGUCUUUAAUUACCAUUCUAACUUUCCCCAUGUCAUUGCUUGAGUACUAGAGUGGGAAGGCAUCUGUUGAUCAUUUGUCUCAGAACCAGGAUACCAUACUUCUCUUGCUUCCCAUGGUCAUUGAUGUCCUAUAUUGGUGCCUCCACAAACAAAGCAGUUAGUUAUAUUAAGACUACUUGCAAUACUCUCUGCCAGAUCAAU